CUGACUGAUACAGGUAUUAAUAAAGUCUGACUGAUACAGGUAUUAAUAAAGUCUGACUGAUACAGGUAUUAAUAAAGUCUGACUGAUACAGGUAUUAAUAAAGUCUGACUGAUACAGGUAUUAAAAAAGUCUGACUGAUACAGGUAUUAAUAAAGUCUGACUGAUACAGGUAUUAAUAAAGUCUGACUGAUACAGGUAUUAAUAAAGUCUGACUGAUACAGGUAUUAAUAAAGUCUGACUGAUACAGGUAUUAAUAAAGUCUGACUGAUACAGGUAUUAAUAAAGUCUGACUGAUAGAGGUAUUAUAAAAGCUGUCAAACUGUUUGACAUUGCUGUGGGUGGCUCUAACCCUGCCCGAGGUUAACCAAUGGAUCUUGUUCUCCUGUUAGGUCUGAUAUUGUCCAUUUUCAAAAGAAUACUCCCGCGGGAUUGCAAAUGUCACAGAAUGUCAGGCCAAUCGUACUGUUCUCAAAGCCAAAUGUUAGUUCAUGUAUUAUGCCGGUUCCCUUUCUGCCGCACCAGGUGCUCCAUGAUUGGAUAAUGGGUUUAAGAUGCCUAGAUCUUCACCCCGGUCAUAUGUCGACAUAGUGCACUGGGAUUGCACGUGUUACAGGGGGCUACAGGGGAAAUGGGAUUGUUUUCAGUAUUACUGUACUUGAUGGGGCCUGUAUUUGCAAUAAAGAUUUAGGUACAGUA